rnacentral:rRNA from 1 species
GACGAACGCUGGCGGCGUGCUUAACACAUGCAAGUCGAACGGAAAGGCCCUGCUUUUGUGGGGUGCUCGAGUGGCGAACGGGUGAGUAACACGUGAGUAACCUGCCCUUGACUUUGGGAUAACUUCAGGAAACUGGGGCUAAUACCGGAUAGGAGCUCCUGCUGCAUGGGGGGGGUUGGAAAGUUUCGGCGGUUGGGGAUGGACUCGCGGCUUAUCAGCUUGUUGGUGGGGUAGUGGCUUACCAAGGCUUUGACGGGUAGCCGGCCUGAGAGGGUGACCGGCCACAUUGGGACUGAGAUACGGCCCAGACUCCUACGGGAGGCUGCAGUGGGGAAUAUUGCACAAUGGGCGGAAGCCUGAUGCAGCAACGCCGCGUGCGGGAUGACGGCCUUCGGGUUGUAAACCGCUUUCGCCUGUGACGAAGCGUGAGUGACGGUAAUGGGUAAAGAAGCACCGGCUAACUACGUG